rfam:Triticum urartu cultivar G1812 contig780291, whole genome shotgun sequence.
AAAGUACUCCAUCCGUUCUGAAUUACUUGUUUUAGAUUUGUCUAGAUAUGAAGGUAUCUAACAUUAAAAUGAGUCUAGAUACAUCCGUAUCUGACAAAUUCAAGACAAAUAAUUCGGAACGAAGGGAGUAAUAC